rnacentral:lncRNA from 12 species
AGGAGGAUCACCUGCUUUAGGAUCACAGGAAACUUCAGCCACAGUGAACUGGAUGUGGUGGUGGUGGUGGUGGUGGGGUGCUAUUCUAAUUAUAUGUUGGCAAGACAGUUCUGACUAAUGUUGGAAGGCAUUAAUGCAGAGAAGCUGAACUUCAUCCAGCAGAGUUUCCUGGUCAUGUUAGCCUCCCAGAAGAGAACCUACUUUUGUUUCACAUUCUUGCUCUCCAGGAAAGCAGACAGGGAGCAUUUCAGUAUCAGCACUUUUCACCCAUGCAGCGUGAGUCCCUGCCCAUGUAACUAAGUGAGAAGAGCAAAGGGCCGGUCUGCUUCUCCCAUUAGAAGGAAGAUGAGUUGGAUCAUACUGGUUACAGGAUGAUUACUACUUGAGCCUGCCAUUGGGGGUUCAUUCAAGCACCUUUCACCACAUG